rnacentral:rRNA from 1 species
UGGGGAAUAUUGCACAAUGGAGGGAACUCUGAUGCAGCGACGCCGCGUGAGUGAUGAAGGACUUCGUUUCGUAAAACUCUGUUCUAUGGGAAGAAAAGGACUGUACCAUAGGAGAAAGCUCCGGCUAAAUACGUGCCAGCAGCCGCGGUAAUACGUAUGGAGCGAGCGUUGUCCGGAAUUAUUGGGCGUAAAGGGUGCGCAGGCGGCUUUACAAGUUGGAUGUGAAAUAUUGUGGCUCAACCACAAACGUGCAUCCAAAACUGCAAAGCUUGAGUUAAGGAGAGGUAAGUGGAAUUCCUGGUGUAGCGGUGGAAUGCGUAGAUAUCAGGAGGAAUACCGGUGGCGAAGGCGACUUACUGGACUUAAACUGACGCUCAGGCACGAAAGCGUGAGGAGCAAACAGG